UGGGGAAUAUUGCACAAUGGGCGCAAGCCUGAUGCAGCCAUGCCGCGUGUGUGAAGAAGGCCUUCGGGUUGUAAAGCACUUUCAGCGAGGAGGAAGGUGGUGAGCUUAAUACGCUCAUCAAUUGACGUUACUCGCAGAAGAAGCACCGGCUAACUCCGUGCCAGCAGCCGCGGUAAUACGGAGGGUGCAAGCGUUAAUCGGAAUUACUGGGCGUAAAGCGCACGCAGGCGGUUUGUUAAGUCAGAUGUGAAAUCCCCGGGCUCAACCUGGGAACUGCAUUUGAAACUGGCAAGCUAGAGUCUCGUAGAGGGGGUAGAAUUCCAGGUGUAGCGGUGAAAUGCGUAGAGAUCUGGAGGAAUACCGGUGGCGAAGGCGGCCCCCUGGACGAAGACUGACGCUCAGGUGCGAAAGCGUGGGGCAGCAAACAGGAUUAGAUACCCUGGUAGUCCACGCUGUAAACGAUGUCGAUUUUGGAGGUUGUGCCCUUGAGGCGUGGCUUCCGGAGCUAACGCGUUAAAUCGACCGCCUGGGGAGUACGGCCGCAAGGUUAAAACUUAAAGGAAUUGACGGGGUCAUAGCUGUUUCCU
rnacentral:rRNA from 1 species